UUCUGGAUCCUCCUGCCUCAGCCUCCUGAGUGCUGGGAUUACAGGCAUGGGUCACCACACCCGGCCAUCAGUGUCAUUAUUGCUUUAUAUUCCAGGUGGAGAGACAAACACAGAGGUUAGGUGAGGAGCUCCAGGUCAGGAGGAUCAUUGCGAGUUCAAAGCCAGCAUGGGCUACAAAGUGAGCUCAAGGCCAACCUGAACUGCAUAUCGAGACCCUGUCUCAGAAGGACAAUUAAUAAUAAUAAUAAUAAUAAUAAUAAUAAUGACACUUAUUCUCAAGGUUGCUCGAAGGACUUAAAUAAGUCCACACAUGUAAAGCACUUAAACAGUGCUUGUGUACGGUCAGCACUCAGUGAAUGCUAGUGGCUCUUAUUUUUAUUACAAGGCUCUUGGGAAAGGAAACUAAGUCUAGAAAAAAACCUGGAAAUACUCUCAGUGAAGCCACACAAGAAAAACAGUUCAUGGUUUAAGAAGUUUAUGUAGGGGCUGGGGAUUUAGCUCAGCGGCACAGCGCCUGCCUGGCAAGCGCAAGGUUGUGAGUUCGAUUCCCAGUACCAGGAAAAAGAAAAAAAAAAAAAAAAGGAAGUUUAUGUAGAAAAGAAUAACUAGAAACAGGUAAGCAGUACUUGCCUCUGAUUAUUUCCUGGUUUUCAAUACUUCUAUACCCUCCAGAUUUUCAAGAAUGUGCCCGUGUCCUGUUUCUAAGGCUGCAGGGCUGGCUCCCCUAGACAGGUAGCCCCCCGCCCCCCCCACUCCAGGACAGAGUUUCUGGAAAGUCGUUCUCCACGUGUUGCGGGUGACAAGAACCACAAUGCGCUCUGAUGAAAGUCUUGGACUCCCUGCACAGAGGCGCUCAGCCCGACACGGUGUCCCCACCAGCCGGGCAGUCCUCGCCCCUCCUCCCUCCUCCUCUCUCCGUCCAGCUGCCUUCCCAGGCACCCUGACUUGAGGCGCUUUCCCAGGUCUGCUCCACCGCGUGGCCUCUCCCUGCCCCGCCACGGUGAGCUGCGGUGGGAGGAACACGCCUCGCACUGACGCACAGCUUCAGUUCCAGCUGUGGGGCACACGCUGCCGCGGGGCUCUCCGCUAGGAAUCAAGCUCCUCUGAGAUGCUCCCAAAUAAAAGUGUUUUCGUCCUGACAAAGUCCACACCUGCUAUCACGGGCACCAGCGCAGAUGCACUGAAGAUGCUGAUGCACAAAAUCACCGGCAGGCUCUACGCAUGGGGUGGGCGUGAAACACGCGUGGAUCUCGUUUAGAACGGGGUCCCAGCCCUGGGACAUUCAUUAUGUAUAUGCAGAUGUUCCCCGUCCCAAAACAUCUGCGCUCUGGAACACUGGUUCCACGUAUUUUAGACAAGGAAGGCUCAACCUGUAUCUGGCUUCAACAGGAAGGCCUUGGGACCCACGGGGCAGUCGCGCCCGUCAGCAGGGUCCUGAGAGACUGGCGGAAAGUGGGGGCCAACCCUUCGGGAGGACAGAGGAGGGAGUGGCCCCGCGGGGGGAGGGGCGGAGGUAGCCUUCUUCCAGGCCAGAGAGGGUGCUUAGCCUGGCCUGGGGUUAGGACAACAAGCGCUGCUCCAGGCAGCCGGCUCCCCAGGCUCCUCCAGGACAGCCUAAGCGUUCGCCUGGCCAGCUCCGCCCGCUCCACGGACAGUGGCUGGUGGGACGCGCGAGCCCGGGCCCAGCCCAGGGGGCGUCUCCGUUGGGUGGGUUAGGGAGGGGGUGGCUAUUGGGAGCGUCGGAAAGUUAGCACGGGUGAGACGCGCUUUCCAUGCUCAGCUGCUUCGGAUUAAGAGAAGCAUUGCGGAGGAAGGGAUCGCUGGGCAAGCUUCCUGUGCUGCUGGGGAGCGGGGCGCGCUGCUCUGGCGAGGGAUCUCUUUUCUGACUAGCAGAUUCUCAGGGUGAGGUGCUCAGCUUAGAACGAAAGUUGGUGCACCCGGUCUCCCACUGAGAGGCUGCAAAACAACUGCCUCAAGCUACAAGAGCCUCUCCUGGGGCCUGGCUUUGCGCGCUUUCUCCAUGAGGCCCCUGACAGCCUCCCCCGGGAGCAUCCCGCCUUCCCUAUGGCUACCAGCGCCCCUGGGGAUGUCCGUCGGGAUUUCACCCCGCCGAAGACAGCCCGAAGCACGACGCACACUUCACCCAGCUUGCUUCCUGCAGCCAAAGGACGCGCUCGGCCCUUGUACGACUUGACAUCAAGUCUUUUUGAGCUGUUCUUUACCCACGGAGGAAGGGGAUUAAGGUGAGAAGACCCAGGUGCUGAGAGCUCGGGGUAACCGUGUCCCAGGCUGAGAGCGGCGGCGAGGCCCGGCGGGCGUCCCCAAGCCCGGAGCGUGUCCACGACCCCGACCUGCCCGCCUGAAGACACGGCUGAACGGGUUUCCCACGCUCAUUCUGCAGAGUGCAAAGCCUUUAGGAGUCACGUUUCAGGACAGUCCUUACCGAGAGACUGCUCCUAAGACGCGGUUGCGGACAGGAACAAGGCCGCAAGCAUAGGACCCUGCAGGGGCGUCACACGCGUGCACACACGCGCGCCGGUGCUCACGCGCACAGGCAGAAGGGGAGCAGCGUUAGCGGUCUGUUACUAGCGGUUACCGCCCGGGUGCAGGAACGCCUGAUGCUUUUUUUCCGGUACCGGGAAUCGAACUCACGACCUCGCGCUUGCCAGG